UGAAUUUUUGUUUUGAAUAAUUUUGCAAAUAUUUUCGAAGUCGUGUCCGUUAAAAUCAACAAUUUUUUACAUGAAUUAUAUUUCAUUCCAUACUUUAAAUGCCAGGACGCUUUCAAUUAAUGUCUAGUCUACCCAUUUGCUAUAUUUUCUCGUUUAUUUUACUAAUUUGUGACCAAUUAAUAAGCAUGUUUUUGUUUUAGAAAUUGAUAUUCAAAUUCCCCGCCAUAUUUCAUAAUUUGGUGUAUGCGCAGACGUUUUUCCGCGGUGUUAUCGAAACGUAGCGAUUUCUUUGUUUCCUGAGCGGUAGUGUGGAACUAACGACUUCGACACAAAAGAAAAUGUUACGUUACGGUUGAAGUGGAAAACAGGUUUGGGUUUCGUUUCGUAAAAUCUUAAUAUUUUAGUAACUUCCUCAAGACGCUUGUUGAACGUGGAUGAGGGUUGAUGAGUAAAUGCAAACGAGAGGUUGCACGAGAGUUUUCUCAGGUCAAAAGGUAACACGAGUUGCAUGAGAGUUGAUAAGAGUGGACUGGACUUUACCACGCGUAUAGCCAAAAACUCUUGUCAACUCUCAACAUAUUUGAAGCAGCUCAAAGUUGAUGAGAGUGCAUGAGAAUUAGCCAUUCCGAAGUUGAUGAGAGGACUGGGGACGAGUGUUAAAAAGUGCCCAAAUUAAGAAAUGAAUCAAAUCACUAAAUAGACCACCUCAAAAUUAGUAAGUAUACAAAGUUUGAAGAUGUUUACAUGAAUACCCUUCGAAUAAUAAGCUUUCGAAAAUCGCGAUAUUUACUAUGAAAUGUACUGCAAUUUUUGUUAAUCAGUAAUUUCACAAUUUUCGAAUGCUUAUUAUUCGAAGGGUAUUCAUGUAAACGUUUUCAAACUUCGUAUACUUACUAAUUUUGAGGUGGUCUUUUUAGUGACCCCGUUCAUUUUUUAAUUUGGGCACUUUUUAACACUCGUCCCCAGUCCACUCAUCAACUUCGGUAUGGCUAAAUGUCGGUCAAACGCGAGCAGGAGUUGCAACUCUUAUCAACUCUCAUCGUCGUUUGACCAGGUGGCUUGUAGUGAGCCCUCCCCAAUCACUAGUACCAAAAAUCUUAUAAACAGCCUCUGACUGUGCUUUGUGGUGAAGCAUGCUAACUGUACAUAUAUAUACUAGAUGGUUUAAUAAAUAAUAUUGCACUAGGAGGUAUUGUAGUUAUUUCAUAGUAAACGUGUAGGUAUAGACAACGUAGUUAAGUGUAUUUUUGUUAAUAUAGUAUUAGCCAUUAGAAUGUAAGAAAUAUAUUAAAAGUUCAUUCAAAAUAUUUGUAUUCUGAUUUUACCGUAAAUCGUGUUUGCUAUAGGUAUACUGUACUCGUACCCUCGAGUUUUGGGCUACAUUUACACUAUAACGGAUAGGUUUCCGUGGCGGCGCGAAAAAGCACCUAUACCCGAUACAGAAUGUACAACUUUCAGAAGCUGAGCGAAACAAAAUCUCUCCGUUGCAAUAAUUCCUCUGAAAAAAGCAUUACUAAAAUGUACGGAUAGGUUGUUUUUCACGUCGCUAGGGAAAGCUAUUCGGCGGUACAGUGUGAACGUAGCCUUAAAUAUUUGAGUUGGCUGUGGUCUCGGCUGUGGUCGCAGAACCGAAGAUAUUAUAUUGUGCUAUUCCAACCUACACGUGAUUAUUUUUUUAGCCUUCUAGGACUUUUCUGGUGCGCUACUUCCUCGCUAAAGUUGCAGCACGUCCCUUCGCCAGCGCUUGCUUGCUUGUGACAAAUCAUGAAGCUCAACUUUUGACUCUGGAUAUUGUUAUUUUAAAAUCAAUCUUACAGUACUUUCUAAUAACUUCGUUACCUUAAUCAGAUUGCUAUGCUCCAGCUUGUGAUCAUGUGCGUUUCUUCGGGGGUGAUGGACUUGUUGUGACAACCUUUUAUUUCCAAAGCAUGAUUCAUCCAUUACUUUGUCUUUGUCGCAUUAUCUAUCCUUUGAGGUGGAAUCAGUUGGUAUAGACACCUGA